UUAUUGGGCGUAAGAGCUCGUAGGCGGUUUGUCGCGUCUGCUGUGAAAUCCCGAGGCUCAACCUCGGGCUUGCAGUGGGUACGGGCAGACUAGAGUGCGGUAGGGGAGAUUGGAAUUCCUGGUGUAGCGGUGGAAUGCGCAGAUAUCAGGAGGAACACCGAUGGCGAAGGCAGAUCUCUGGGCCGUAACUGACGCUGAGGAGCGAAAGCAUGGGGAGCGAACAGGAUUAGAUACCCUGGUAGUCCAUGCCGUAAACGUUGGGCGCUAGAUGUAGGGACCUUUCCACGGUUUCUGUGUCGUAGCUAACGCAUUAAGCGCCCCGCCUGGGGAGUACGGCCGCAAGGCUAAAACUCAAAGGAAUUGACGGGGGCCCGCACAAGCGGCGGAGCAUGCGGAUUAAUUCGAUGCAACGCGAAGAACCUUACCAAGGCUUGACAUACACCGGAAACGGCCAGAGAUGGUCGCCCCCUUGUGGUCGGUGUACAGGUGGUGCAUGGUUGUCGUCAGCUCGUGUCGUGAGAUGUUGGGUUAAGUCCCGCAACGAGCGCAACCCUCGUUCUAUGUUGCCAGCGGGUUAUGCCGGGGACUCAUAGGAGACUGCCGGGGUCAACUCGGAGGAAGGUGGGGAUGACGUCAAAUCAUCAUGCCCCUUAUGUCUUGGGCUUCACGCAUGCUACAAUGGCCGGUACAAAGGGCUGCGAUACCGUAAGGUGGAGCGAAUCCCAAAAAGCCGGUCUCAGUUCGGAUUGAGGUCUGCAACUCGACCUCAUGAAGUCGGAGUCGCUAGUAAUCGCAGAUCAGCAACGCUGCGGUGAAUACGUUCCCGGGGCCUUGUACACACCGCCCGUCAAGUCAUGAAAGUCGGUAACACCCGAAGCCGGUGGCCUAACCCUUGUGGAAGAGCCGUCGA
rnacentral:rRNA from 2 species